rnacentral:rRNA from 1 species
GAUUACGCCGCGUGAGGGAUAAGGCCUCUGGGCUGUAAACCUCUUUUAUCAAGGAAGAAGAUCUGACGGUACUUGAUGAAUAAGCCACGGCUAAUUCCGUGCCAGCAGCCGCGGUAAUACGGGAGUGGCAAGCGUUAUCCGGAAUUAUUGGGCGUAAAGCGUCCGCAGGCGGUCUUUUAAGUCUGUCGUCAAAGCGUGGAGCUUAACUCCAUUUCUGCGAUGGAAACUGGAAGACUAGAGUGUGGUAGGGGCAGAGGGAAUUCCCGGUGUAGCGGUGAAAUGCGUAGAUAUCGGGAAGAACACCAGUGGCGAAGGCGCUCUGCUGGGCCAUAACUGACGCUCAUGGACGAAAGCCAGGGGAGCGAAAGGGAUUAGAUACCCCUGUAGUCCUGGCCGUAAACGAUGAACACUAGGUGUCGGGGGAAUCGACCCCCUCGGUGUCGUAGCCAACGCGUUAAGUGUUCCGCCUGGGGAGUACGCACGCAAGUGUGAAACUCAAAGGAAUUGACGGGGGCCCGCACAAGCGGUGGAGUAUGUGGUUUAAUUCGAUGCAACGCGAAGAACCUUACCAGGGUUUGACA